CGUAGGGUGCGAGCGUUAAUCGGAAUUACUGGGCGUAAAGCGUGCGCAGGCGGUUUGUAAGACAGAUGUGAAAUCCCCGGGCUCAACCUGGGACCUGCAUUUGUGACUGCAAGGCUAGAGUACGGUAGAGGGGGAUGGAAUUCCGCGUGUAGCAGUGAAAUGCGUAGAUAUGCGGAGGAACACCGAUGGCGAAGGCAAUCCCCUGGACCUGUAUUGACGCUCAUGCACGAAAGCGUGGGGAGCAAACAGGAUUAGAUACCCUGGUAGUCCACGCCCUAAACGAUGUCAACUGGUUGUUGGGUCUUUACUGACUCAGUAACGAAGCUAACGCGUGAAGUUGACCGCCUGGGGAGUACGGCCGCAAGGUUG
rnacentral:rRNA from 1 species